rnacentral:rRNA from 1 species
AACGAACGCUGGCGGCAGGCUUAACACAUGCAAGUCGAACGCCCCGCAAGGGGAGUGGCAGACGGGUGAGUAACGCGUGGGAAUCUACCUAGUUCUACGGAACAACAGUUGGAAACGACUGCUAAUACCGUAUACGCCCUACGGGGGAAAGAUUUAUCGGAAUUAGAUGAGACCGGGUAAGAUUAGCUAGUUGGUGUGGUGAUGGCCUACCAAGGCGACGAUCUUUAGCUGGUCUGGGAGGAUGAUCAGCCACACUGGGACUGAGACACGGCCAAGACUCCUACGGGAGGCAGCAGUGGGGAAUAUUGGACAAUGGGCGCAAGCCUGAUCCAGCCAUGCCGCGUGAGUGAUGAAGGCCUUAGGGUUGUAAAGCUCUUUCACCGAUGAAGAUAAUGACGGUAGUCGGAGAAGAAGCCCCGGCUAACUUCGUGCCAGCCGCCGCGGUAAAAC